UACAGAGGUCCCGAGCGUUGUUCGGAUUCACUGGGCGUAAAGGGUGCGCAGGUGGGUUUGCAAGUUCGAUGUGAAAGCCCCGGGCUUAACCCGGGAAUGGCAUUGGGUACUGCAGAUCUGGAGGAUCGGAGGGGGGACUGGAAUUCUUGGUGUAGCAGUGAAAUGCGUAGAUAUCAAGAGGAACACCAGUGGCGAAGGCGAGUCCCUGGACGAUACCUGACACUGAGGCACGAAAGCUAGGGGAGCGAAUGGG
rnacentral:rRNA from 1 species